rnacentral:rRNA from 1 species
CCUACGGGAGGCAGCAGUGAGGAAUAUUGGUCAAUGGACGAGAGUCUGAACCAGCCAAGUAGCGUGAAGGAUGACUGCCCUAUGGGUUGUAAACUUCUUUUAUAUGGGAAUAAAACGUUCCACGUGUGGGAUUUUGUAUGUACCAUAUGAAUAAGGAUCGGCUAACUCCGUGCCAGCAGCCGCGGUAAUACGGAGGAUCCGAGCGUUAUCCGGAUUUAUUGGGUUUAAAGGGAGCGUAGGUGGAUUGUUAAGUAAGUUGUGAAAGUUUGCGGCGCAACCGUAAAAUUGCAGUUGAAACUUGCAGUCUUGAGUACAGUAGAGGUGGGCGGAAUUCGUGGUGUAGCGGUGAAAUGCUUAGAUAUCACGAAGAACGCCGAUUGCGAAGGCAGUUCACUGGACUGCAACUGACACUGAGGCUCGAAAGUGUGGGUAUCAAACAGGAUUAGAUACCCGGGUAGUC